UACGUAGGGGGCGAGCGUUGUCCGGAAUUAUUGGGCGUAAAGAGCGUGUAGGCGGUUCGGUAAGUCUGCCGUGAAAACCCGGGGCUCAACCCCGGGCGUGCGGUGGAUACUGCCGGGCUAGAGGAUGGUAGAGGCGAGUGGAAUUCCCGGUGUAGCGGUGAAAUGCGCAGAUAUCGGGAGGAACACCAGUAGCGAAGGCGGCUCGCUGGGCCAUUCCUGACGCUGAGACGCGAAAGCUAGGGGAGCGAACAGGAUUAGAAACCCCAGUAGUCC
rnacentral:rRNA from 1 species